GAUUGGUCUACGGUGUAACAUCUUGUGUCUAUAAAAUGAGCUGCUCGUUAUGCGUACAUAAUCCUUUCUACUGCAGUUGCUUUUCAAAAGAUAUUAUGUUAGCCAUGGAGAACUGCAAAUAUGUUGCUACUGCUCUCAGUAACAUUGCCGCCCUGAAUUUAUCAGGCGCUAUCGACAACGGUCAGUGAAAAAAAGUUGUGAUGGACUACUUUCUGGAGGACGAUCAUGCCAUGCUGACUCUCUCGGACUCUGAAAACUGAAUCAGACGAUGAGGAAAUCCCCGAUUUAGCAUCAGUAGAACAUGCCUGACUCUACCCCACCAGUCAUACAAGGAGAAUGUUCUAAUGCCUCCCAUCAAAAAGAGAGCUGGCCCAAGCAAGCACAGGUUACACCUGAAGCAUGAGGACUUGCAGCAAGUGGUGAACUUCAACAACUACGCAGAGGAUAAUGCAAUAGUAUUACCAGGACACCACCCAGGACACAAACUCUUUGGUGGAAAGCUGCUGCCAUCCCAUGUGACAAAAGCAGCAGUGUGGCGUCUCUACAAGGAAUCUGUCUCAGGGGGCCCCUACUGAACCAGCAAACAGUCUGGACCUUCACUUCCAAGAUCAAAGGCCACACCAAGUUUGCCCCCGACUGGUGCUUCGGCCUCAUCAAGCAGCGCUUCAGAAAGACCAGAGUGAACACUGUCUGAGAUUGCUGGUGUUGUGAAGUACAGCACUGUGAUAGGGGUCAACAUCCCACAGCUGGUUGGACUGGAGGAUGAUACGGUGCUGGUGGAAAGCUAUGGCCGGCAACAACACUUGACUUCGUACUUCAGGCCGCUGCCACAGAUCAAGCAGUACCAGCACUUCAGAUGGUCUGCCUGUACAAGCACCACCUGGACUGGACACAGCUAGACAAACUUACAGUUUUGAGAAUAUUAUAUGGACAUCACAUGCCCUGCACCAAAGUCAGGACAGAAACAUGCGUGGUUCAGAUGGACCAGUCAUUAGCACUAUCUGCAGUGCCUCUAUUCAAAUGACUCUCUCCUAACAUAUGUUGCUGCUACAAUUUUUUCUAUCCUGCUGCUCAGCCUCUUUACCCCUGAUUGUAUGCAUAUAACUACCUCGUCUAUCACUAUCUAUUGAUAUUGUUCUUGUACAUACUGUAUAUUAUUUUAUUUAUAUUGA